rnacentral:rRNA from 1 species
GAUGAACGCUGGCGGCGUGCCUAAUACAUGCAAGUCGAGCGAACAGACGAGGAGCUUGCUCCUCUGACGUUAGCGGCGGACGGGUGAGUAACACGUGGAUAACCUACCUAUAAGACUGGGAUAACUUCGGGAAAACGGAGCUAAUACCGGAUAAUAUAUUGAACCGCAUGGUUCAAUAGUGAAAGACGGUUUUGCUGUCACUUAUAGAUGGAUCCGCGCCGCAUUAGCUAGUUGGUAAGGUAACGGCUUACCAAGGCAACGAUGCGUAGCCGACCUGAGAGGGUGAUCGGCCACACUGGAACUGAGACACGGUCCAGACUCCUACGGGAGGCAGCAGUAGGGAAUAUUCCGCAAUGGGCGAAAGCCUGACGGAGCAACGCCGCGUGAGUGAUGAAGGUCUUCGGAUCGUAAAGCUCUGUUAUUAGGGAAGAACAAAUGUGUAAGUAACUAUGCACGUCUUGACGGUACCUAAUCAGAAAGCCACGGCUAACUACGUG